rnacentral:rRNA from 1 species
GACGAACGCUGGCGGCGUGCUUAACACAUGCAAGUCGAACGGUGAAAGCGGAGCUUGCUCCGCUGGAUCAGUGGCGAACGGGUGAGUAACACGUGGGCAACCUGCCCCUGACUUCGGGAUAACUCCUCGAAAGAGGUGCUCAUACCGGAUACGAAUCCUGCAGGCAUCUGCGGGCUUGGACAGUUUUUCGGUCAGGGAUGGGCCCGCGGCCUAUCAGCUUGUUGGUGAGGUAGUGGCUCACCAAGGCGACGCCGGGUAGCCGUCCUGGGAGGGCGACCGGCCACACUGGGACUGAGACACGGCCCAGACUCCUACGGGAGGCAGCAGUGGGGAAUAUUGCGCAAUGGGCGAAAGCCUGACGCAGCAACGCCGCGUGAGGGAUGACGGCCUUCGGGUUGUAAACCUCUUUCAGCAGGGAAGAAGCGAAAGUGACGGUACCUGCAGAAGAAGCACCGGCUAACUACGUGCCAGCCGCCGCCGUAA